GACGAAGGAUGCAAGCGUUAUCCGGAUUCAUUGGGUUUAAAGGGAGCGUAGGCGGCCCUGUAAGUCAGUGGUGAAAUCUCUCGGCUUAACUGAGAAAUUGCCAUUGAUACUGCGGGGCUUGAGUACAGAUGCCGUUGGCGGAAUAUGACAUGUAGUGGUGAAAUACAUAGAGAUGUCAUAGAACACCGAUUGCGAAGGCAGCUAACGAAACUGUAACUGACGCUGAGGCUCGAAAGUGCGGGGAUCAAACAGG
rnacentral:rRNA from 1 species